AUAUUGCCAGGUAAACUUUGCCAUGAUGGUUCUGCUGUCACGCACGGGAGCGCUACCUUGCUAUUCAGUUGGCGGGCAAUUAUUUAACGGCAAGUUCGACCCCAUAAAAUGUGGUGGAGCGGCAAUUCAAAGGUUUUUAAGGGCCGCUUGUUUCAUUUUUGUAAUGUGAGGGAAAUUACGUUUAAUGGCCAGUGAGUUUUCAGCACUAGUUAAGAAGAUCUGACAAAGAGUUUGUCCUUUAAAAUUGA
rnacentral:misc_RNA from 1 species